rnacentral:rRNA from 1 species
GACGAACGCUGGCGGCGUGCUUAACACGUGCAAGUCGAGCGGAAAGGCCACUUCGGUGGUACUCGAGCGGCGAACGGGUGAGUAACACGUGAGUAAUCUGCCCCUGGCUUUGGGAUAGCCACCGGAAACGGUGAUUAAUACCGGAUACGACAACUUCUCGCAUGGGAUGGUUGUGGAAAGUUUUUCGGCCAGGGAUGUGCUCGCGGCCUAUCAGCUUGAUGGUGAGGUAAUGGCUCACCAUGGCUUCGACGGGUAGCCGGCCUGAGAGGGUGAACGGUCACACUGGGACUGAGACACGGCCCAGACUCCUACGGGAGGCAGCAGUGGGGAAUAUUGGACAAUGGGCGGAAGCCUGAUUCAGCAACGCCGCGUGAGGGAUGACGGCCUUCGGGUUGUAAACCUCUUUCGCCUGUGACGAAGCGCAAGUGACGGUAACAGGUAAAGAAGCACCGGCCAACUACGUGCCAGCCGCCGCGGUAAUAC